rnacentral:rRNA from 1 species
UACGUAGGUGGCAAGCGUUGUCCGGAUUUAUUGGGUUUAAAGGGUGCGUAGGCGGUCUAUUAAGUCAGUGGUGAAAUAUGGCAGCUUAACUGUCAAGGUGCCAUUGAUACUGAUGGACUUGAGUGAAGUCGAGGUUGGCGGAAUUGACGGUGUAGCGGUGAAAUGCGUAGAUAUCAGGAGGAACACCGAUGGCGAGGGCAGUGGGCUGGGCCGGCACUGACGCUGAGGAGCGAAAGCGUGGGGAGCGAACAGG